CUACGCAGAGCCCUGCGGAGACCCAGCCGUAACCCGGCUCCCUCAUCACAGCGACAGGGAGAGAAAAUGUCAGCCCGCUGAAGCCAGUUUCUCAUCCAGAGUCACAGCCUGGAGCCAGAGAGACAAUCCUGCAAGACGCCAGAUCGCCUGGAACUGCUUUAGUCCAACGCUUCCAAUGAACCGCUAGAGGAACAAAGGCAAGCAUCCCGCCUUCGUGUUUGUCUCGGAGAAGCAGCACAUGUGGCGCGUUGAUAACUGCAUGCUCGAGUGUUCGCUUUAUUCUGACGUGUCCUCACGUGCAUUUAGCAGCAUGCAAGGGGCUGGCGGAAAAGGUUGAGAAGGUUUCAAUUCAAUUUAGGUAUGCCAAUUUUAAUUGGAUGUAACAAUAAUGCUAUUUGUCCAGUGUAGCAUUACAAAGACGAACACGGAUCCUCUUCCCGAAAACUCAGUUAGGGCAGCGUGCUGCAGGCAUAAGACGUUCUUUUGUUGGCCAAAACUAAUAAAUGAGCCUUUUU